GAUGAACGCUGGCGGCGUGCCUAAUACAUGCAAGUCGAGCGAACAGACGAGGAGCUUGCUCCUCUGACGUUAGCGGCGGACGGGUGAGUAACACGUGGAUAACCUACCUAUAAGACUGGGAUAACUUCGGGAAACCGGAGCUAAUACCGGAUAAUAUAUUGAACCGCAUGGUUCAAUAGUGAAAGACGGUUUUGCUGUCACUUAUAGAUGGAUCCGCGCCGCAUUAGCUAGUUGGUAAGGUAACGGCUUACCAAGGCAACGAUGCGUAGCCGACCUGAGAGGGUGAUCGGCCACACUGGAACUGAGACACGGUCCAGACUCCUACGGGAGGCAGCAGUAGGGAAUCUUCCGCAAUGGGCGAAAGCUUGACGGAGCAACGCCGCGUGAGUGAUGAAGGUCUUCGGAUCGUAAAACUCUGUUAUUAGGGAAGAACAAAUGUGUAAGUAACUAUGCACGUCUUGACGGUACCUAAUCAGAAAGCCGCGGCUAACUACGU
rnacentral:rRNA from 1 species